rnacentral:rRNA from 1 species
UACGUAGGGUGCAAGCGUUAAUCGGAAUUACUGGGCGUAAAGCGUGCGCAGGCGGGUUUGUAAGACAGAGGUGAAAUCCCCGGGCUCAACCUGGGAACUGCCUUUGUGACUGCAAGGCUGGAGUACGGCAGAGGGGGAUGGAAUUCCGCGUGUAGCAGUGAAAUGCGUAGAUAUGCGGAGGAACACCGAUGGCGAAGGCAAUCCCCUGGGCCUGUACUGACGCUCAUGCACGAAAGCGUGGGGAGCAAACAGGAUUAGAUACCCUGGUAGUCCACGCCCUAAACGAUGUCAACUGGUUGUUGGGUCUUCACUGACUCAGUAACAAAACUAACACAUAAAAUUAACCACCUAAAAAAUACAACCGCAAGGUUGAA